UGGAUUUUUUGAACAGAGA
rnacentral:miRNA from 1 species